rnacentral:tRNA from 1 species
GCAAAAUGCAAAUUUGAAGAAGUACCCCACUAAGGUACCAGGGCUUUCUCCCGUUU